GGAUAGCUCAGUCGGUAAGAGCAUUUGACUCUUAAUCUCAGCAUCGUGGGUUUGAGCCGCAUGUUAGGCA